rnacentral:rRNA from 1 species
UGAGACCGGCGCACGGGUGCGUAACGCGUAUGCAAUCUACCUUGUACAGGGGGAUAGCCCAGAGAAAUUUGGAUUAAUACCUCAUAGUAUCUUCGGAAGGCAUCUUCUGAUUAUUAAAGUUCCAACGGUACAAGAUGAGCAUGCGUCCCAUUAGUUAGUUGGUAAGGUAACGGCUUACCAAGACAAUGAUGGGUAGGGGUCCUGAGAGGGAGAUCCCCCACACUGGUACUGAGACACGGACCAGACUCCUACGGGAGGCAGCAGUGAGGAAUAUUGGACAAUGGGCGCAAGCCUGAUCCAGCCAUGCCGCGUGCAGGAAGACGGUCCUAUGGAUUGUAAACUGCUUUUAUACAGGAAGAAACACCCCGACGUGUCGGGACUUGACGGUACUGUAGGAAUAAGGAUCGGCUAACUCCGUGCCAGCAGCCGCGGUAAUACGGAGGAUCCAAGCGUUAUCCGGAAUCAUUGGGUUUAAAGGGUCCGUAGGCGGCCUUAUAAGUCAGUGGUGAAAUCUCCCAGCUCAACUGGGAA